rnacentral:tRNA from 1 species
GGGCGUUUAGCUCAGUCGGCUAGAGCGCUUCCCUUACAAGGAAGAUGUCGGGGGUUCGAGUCCCUCAACGCCCA